rnacentral:lncRNA from 1 species
UGUUCACGGCAUCCUAGAAUAAAAACUACAUUUCACAGUCUCCUUUGUGUGGUCUUGGGGCUAAGUGCUGGCCAAUGGAAUGUACGCAGAAGUGUCACAAGUGACUUCCAGGAAGCAUUCUUCAAGCUUCAAGGGAGGGGUGGGCCCUUUUUGUUGCCUUCCUCCUUCCUAUUGGCCAGAAAGCGUAAGCAUCAUAUUGGACCAUGAGGUAGUGAGGAACAUUUGGAAGCCACAAGUUGAGAAUGGCAAAACCUGAGAGAAAUUAAGUGAGGUGAAUCACGAAAUGGGAGAUGAAAGGAUGAGGUGUUGGGGGGAGCGUAUGAAGAUCUGAGGAGACAAGGCAGAUUUAAAACAGUUGCUGCAGAGAGGAGGAGACAGCGAGCUGACCCAACCCUCAGCUCCAGUGGAGAAGCAGGGCUUCAUCUUCUGGACACCAGCACAUCUUAGAUUGUGCCUUCCUUGUCAACACCAAGGCAAGCUGAGCCAGGAGGAUAGUGGAAGGUCACACAGGUAGAAAACCUGCUGACCAAACUGCCCCUGCACCAGACCUAAUACAUUUUGGGUUCGAUCCCUUAAUAUGUGUAAGCAUUUACACUGCAAGUAAGAGGAAAUUCUCGCUGGAAUGACCAGGCCAAGAAAAGAAAAAUGGAAACGACCUAAAAUGCCUAACAAUGGAAAUGAGUUGAAUCCAUCUGGCUCAUAGACAUGACGAAAUACUGAAUGGCCACCAUAAAUGGACAUAUGUUUAUUGAUGAGGAAAGAUCUUUAUAACAUAUUGUCAAGUGAACAAAAAAGCAUGCUAUAAAAAAAGGUCAUGCAGAAUAAUCUUAUUUUGUAAAAAAAAAAAAAGUGUGUAU